GUCUUUGAUAUAUACUUUUGGAGAUGCUCAGACUAUAAAAGUUGUCAUUCCAGAGGGUGACUUUGAAGGUUUUUCAUGUAUAACUUGGCCUUGUGCCUUUGCACUUGCAUCUUUGCUGUGGCACAAGCGAAAACUUUUUGAGGCUAAAAAAGUUUUGGAAAGUUACCUAUAAUUCCUAUAAAGUGGGGUUGCUUUGAUAACAAAUACUUAUACAAAAAAUUACCUUUAUUUGA